UGGUGGGACCACACCUAUGGUGCAUCUUACAAGGGUACAUGUGAAACUUACUAAAUGUAGAAUAUAAAUCUCUCAAUACAAUAACUAAGAAAAUGCCAGGAAGGCUGUUUUAACCAGUGUGAUGAAAAUAUGUCAAAUGGUAUAUAAAACCAGAGUAUGGUGACCCAUGAUCGCAUUAAUGUACACAGCUAUAAUUUAAUAAUAAAUAAAUUUUUUAAAAAAUGUCAUUUGAGGGUGGCACCGGUGGGACAGUCGCCAAGGGAUGGCGGAGCGUGAGGAUGGAGCGGGUGUCUGGGCUGCUCUCCUGGACGCUGAGCAGAGUCCUGUGGCUCUUGGGCUUCUCUGAGCGGGGAGCUGCCCGGCAGCCCCGGAUCAUGGAAGAAAAAAUGCUAGAGAUUUAUGAUUUCAUUUGAACUAUCUGGGACUCAGAAAAGCCCAAUACUCUAGAAGAACUGGAAGUGGUAAUGGAAAGUUGUGUGGAGGUUCAGGAGAUAAAUGAAGAAGACUAUUUGGUAAUUAUCAAGUUUACACCAACAGUACCUCAUUGCUCUUUGGCAACUCUUAUUGGGCUGUGUUUAAGAGUAAAACUUCAGUGGUGUAUACCGUUUAAACACAAGUUGGAAAUCUACAUUUCUGAAGGAACCCACUCAACAGAAGAAGACCUCAAUAAGCAGAUAAAUGACAAAGAGCGAGUGGCAGCUGCCAGGGAAAACCCCAACUUACGGGAAAUUGUGGAACAGUGUGUCCUUGAACCUGACUGAUAGCUGUUCUAAGAGCCACCAAACUGUAAUUGAUACAUUUGUUUAAACUCUUUGUAUAAUAUGAAAGACUCAUGUUUAAUACAUGGGUGAUUUAUACCUUGAAACAUUUUUUUAAAUAAUUAUUUCCAAGCAAAAUUUACUUAUAAGGUAGUAUCUAAUUUGUUCAGUGUUUAACAUUCUCAGGAUUUGUAACAUUUAAAUGAUCAGACAGAAUAAUAUUUUCUAGUUAUUAUGUGUAAGAUGAGUUGCUAUUUUUCUGAUGCCCAUUCUGAUACAACUACUUUUCAUGUCAAAUAUCUGCGUGCGUGCCCAAAUGCAUCAAUUUAAAUCAUUACUCUGUAAAAUAAAUAAAUGAUGAUUCUUA